rnacentral:rRNA from 1 species
CUACGGGCUGCUCCAGUGAGGAAUAUUGCACAAUGGAGGAAACUCUGAUGCAGCAACGCCGCGUGGAGGAUGACGCAUUUCGGUGUGUAAACUCCUUUUAUAUGUCAAGAAAAUGACGGUAGCAUAUGAAUAAGCUCCGGCUAACUCCGUGCCAGCAGCCGCGGUAAUACGGAGGGAGCAAGCGUUACUCGGAAUCACUGGGCGUAAAGGACGCGUAGGCGGGAUAGAAAGUCAGGUGUGAAAUCCUAUGGCUCAACCAUAGAACUGCACUUGAAACUUCUAACCUAGAGUAUGGGAGGGGAAGAUGGAAUUAGUGGUGUAGGGGUAAAAUCCGUAGAUAUCACUAGGAAUACCAAAAGCGAAGGCGAUCUUCUGGAACAAUACUGACGCUAAGGCGUGAAAGCGUGGGGAGCAAACAGGAUUAGACCCUCGUAGUC